CCUACGGGCGGCUGCAGUGGGGAAUAUUGCACAAUGGGCGCAAGCCUGAUGCAGCCAUGCCGCGUGUGUGAAGAAGGCCUUCGGGUUGUAAAGCACUUUCAGCGGGGAGGAAGGCGUUAAGGUUAAUAACCUUGCCGAUUGACGUUACCCGCAGAAGAAGCACCGGCUAACUCCGUGCCAGCAGCCGCGGUAAUACGGAGGGUGCAAGCGUUAAUCGGAAUUACUGGGCGUAAAGCGCACGCAGGCGGUCUGUCAAGUCGGAUGUGAAAUCCCCGGGCUCAACCUGGGAACUGCAUUCGAAACUGGCAGGCUAGAGUCUUGUAGAGGGGGGUAGAAUUCCAGGUGUAGCGGUGAAAUGCGUAGAGAUCUGGAGGAAUACCGGUGGCGAAGGCGGCCCCCUGGACAAAGACUGACGCUCAGGUGCGAAAGCGUGGGGAGCAAACAGGAUUAGAUACCCCAGUAGUC
rnacentral:rRNA from 1 species